rnacentral:lncRNA from 1 species
AUCCAGCCGCACUUCCUCCCUCUCCUCCCUCCCUCCUCUCUCUGCGUGCCUCUCCUCUGAUUCACCUCAUCUUCUUCGUGCGCAAAGGCCGCAAGCGUAGCUUGUCGCGCCGCCGUCCGUCCACCCUACCGUUUGUUUUCCUCCUCUCUCAGAUCGGGGCUGGCCGGUGCAGCUCCGUUAUCUCCCUACCCUCCACCCCCACGUGUGCAGCAGCGACCCCAGAAGAAGCUUGAGCUGUUCUGGUGGUCAAUGACACCGUCACCGCCGUCCUUGGAAGCACUUCUUACCUGAAUAAAUAAGUACGGUGAAAAUCCCCUACCUUACCAGCAUCUUCCCUUCCUCCCAGCACGCACGGGUCAGUAACGGUGGCGCCACUUUGCUGCUCUUCUGCCAGCCCUCGCGGCUACCUGCGCCGGCUGAUGGAACGAGCCUGGAGUCAUCGCACGUCCCAACGUUGUGUUGCCUCUAGCACCUCGGCUUCUCUCGCAUCGCUGCAACUCCGCCUUCAUCUCUACCCGCGCCAUAGAGCAUGCCCGGCAGUGGUACCAGAACGAAGAUGGAUCAGCAUGCCUUGGUUUCCGCUCGUCUUGGAGCAUCCGUUUUCCCCUUUAUCGUGAUUUUUCUUUACCUUUCUCUUACAUGAUCACC